UUGCGGAGACAGAAGCUUGCGGCGGCGGAAAAGUAUUUUCGUGGCUCUCUUCCGUGGUUUCUGAUUUUUGGAGAAUUUAUAGGCGAAAGAAGUAGGGAAGGGGAGCCAUAGGGGGCCCACAAGCCUGGUAGGCCCGACCUGGGUGGCUUGUGACCUCUUCCGAGGUCCCCUGCCUUGGUUCUCAAGUUUCCUACGUGUCUUCUGUUAUGGAAAAAAUCAUUCCGCAGGUUUUAUUCCGUUUGGACUCCGUUUAAUAUUCUCCUCUGAAAAAGGUCCAAAACACGGAAAAAUAGGAGCUGGCACUUGGCACUGAGUUAAUAGGUUAGUCCCAAAAAAUAUAUAUAAUAGCAUAUUCAUGCAUAC
rnacentral:lncRNA from 1 species